UCCGCCCACCCCAAACAAGCUCAACCUCGAGACGCAGCUCCCGGCGCUUUGCUGGGGGCUGGAGGGGCUCAUCCCCAUGCCUGUAUCCCAGCAGGCUAAAACCUUCCCCAUCCCAGUCUUCAAGGUUGCCUGGCUCCCCACCAGACUCUUCCCACCCUUCCAUAGGACGGUGGAGAUGGAUGCGACAUCUAGACCGGGACGCUGAAUCUACCAACAGCGCACAGAAGGGGCAACCGAGUGCACCAGCAAAGUCCUGGAGGUUUGUUGAUGCAGCAGUCUUCACCUCUGUUGAGCCUUGACGCUGUGCCUGGUGCUAAAAGCUGAGGAGAGGGAAGAAGCGGGACCCUCCCGGAACUCGUGUCUGGUGUCUGGCUGAGAGCCAGAACAUGCCACUACUUUGUUAUCCUGCCCUCCUCCAUGGAUUUCUAUAUUCCAUCAUUCUUCUCAAAUUAAACUCGGACCUGCUUUUUCCCUUCGAAUGCUGAAGGCUCUGUCUCCAAGUUCCCCUGCUGGAAGGCAUAUUAUGAAACGGGAUGUACCAUCAGAGACGAAGGACAAAGGAUGAAUAUGUUUGAAGAUUCCGAUGGUGAAGCUUCGGAAUAGAGAAGAAAGCAGAUUCUAGAUUUCUGGGAGAAUAGAAAGAAACAUGGAAAAUGCAAGCUCUCCAGUGACAGGAGCACUUGCAUUUUGAACGAAGAUUCUAAUCAAGGAUUCCUCUCAAGCACGUGAGAAUUCUCACAUGGAAGGAAUUCCACCUGGAAGGCCUAUUCUGGAGUGAGGACAUAAAGAGGUGAUAUAAAGAAGAUUAACUAGGGUACUGGUGUACUAUGUAAACCUAGCCUCUGUGAGAAGGUACAACUGGGUUCUAGGCUGACACCUGAAUUUUGGAAAGGGCAGAGCUAAAGGAGGAUUUAUGGAUGAAGCUCUUACACAGAAGGAACAAAACUGCCCAAGAUCUUCUCAGUGUGCUCUGGAAAGCUGGCCAACUGAAAGAGAACUUGAAGGUCCCUGCAGAGAUCUCCUUCACAAUGUAUCCAAGUGGUUCACUUGAAUGGACUUUUCAUGACAGGCAACAUAUCCUAACAAAGCACUUUGAGGAAGGAGACAUUUCCUGUUAUAUUCUCAUCUGUUACCUAUCUACCAGUCUUUCGGGAGGAGAUGGAUAAUCUAGAUAGAACAAGACAAUUUUCCUGGAUUUGAAAGGGCAUUUCAUCUUCUGUUUUGGUCUGGUAAUAACAUAGUUUAUGUGGGAUGCUAGGUGGCAGAAAGGCUUAAUAUAAUCAAUAAAAGGACGUGCAAUAAAUAUUUUGAAUAAAUACUUUUUGAAUUCAACAUCAUUAAA